UACGGGGGGGGCAAGCGGUUGUUCGGAAUUACUGGGCGUAAAGGGCUCGUAGGCGGCCAACUAAGUCAGACGUGAAAUCCCUCGGCUUAACCGGGGAACUGCGUCUGAUACUGGAUGGCUUGAGUUCGGGAGAGGGAUGGCGGAAUUGCCAGGUGUAGCGGUCGAAAUGGCGUAGGAUAAUCUGGAGGAACACCGGUGGCGGAAGGCGGCAUCCUGGGACCGAUACUGACGCUGAGGAGCGAAAGCCAGGGGAGCAAACGGGGAUUAGAUACCCGUGG
rnacentral:rRNA from 1 species